UACGAAGGGGGCUAGCGUUGUUCGGAUUUACUGGGCGUAAAGCGCACGUAGGCGGCUUUGUAAGUUAGAGGUGAAAGCCCAGAGCUCAACUCUGGAACUGCCUUUAAGACUGCAUCGCUUGAAUCAUGGAGAGGUUAGUGGAAUUCCGAGUGUAGAGGUGAAAUUCGUAGAUAUUCGGAAGAACACCAGUGGCGAAGGCGACUAACUGGACAUGUAUUGACGCUGAGGUGCGAAAGCGUGGGAGCAACAGG
rnacentral:rRNA from 1 species